rnacentral:rRNA from 1 species
UACGUAGGUGGCGAGCGUUGUCCGGAUUUACUGGGCGUAAAGGGAGCGUAGGCGGACUUUUAAGUGAGAUGUGAAAUACUCGGGCUCAACUUGAGUGCUGCAUUUCAAACUGGAAGUCUAGAGUGCAGGAGAGGAGAAUGGAAUUCCUAGUGUAGCGGUGAAAUGCGUAGAGAUUAGGAAGAACACCAGUGGCGAAGGCGAUUCUCUGGACUGUAACUGACGCAGAGGCUCGAAAGCGUGGGGAGCAAACAGG